rnacentral:rRNA from 1 species
AUGCCGCGUGUGUGAAGAAGGCCUUCGGGUUGUAAAGCACUUUCAGCGGGGAGGAAGGCGUUGAGGUUAAUAACCUUGUCGAUUGACGUUACCCGCAGAAGAAGCACCGGCUAACUCCGUGCCAGCAGCCGCGGUAAUACGGAGGGUGCAAGCGUUAAUCGGAAUUACUGGGCGUAAAGCGCACGCAGGCGGUCUGUCAAGUCGGAUGUGAAAUCCCCGGGCUCAACCUGGGAACUGCAUUCGAAACUGGCAGGCUAGAGUCUUGUAGAGGGGGGUAGAAUUCCAGGUGUAGCGGUGAAAUGCGUAAAGAUCUGGAGGAAUACCGGUGGCGAAGGCGGCCCCCUGGACAAAGACUGACGCUCAGGUGCGAAAGCGUGGGGAGCAAACAGGAUUAGAUACCCCGGUAGA